rnacentral:rRNA from 1 species
CCCUACGAACCUUUAUAUCUCAACCACUAGAAACCGUCUGAGAAACAAACAAAAUAAUCAAAACUUUCAACAACGGAUCUCUUGGCUCUGGCAUCGAUGAAGAACGCAGCGAAAUGCGAUACGUAAUGUGAAUUGCAGAAUUCAGCGAACCAUCGAAUCUUUGAACCGCACAUUGCGCCCGCCAGUAUUCUGGCGGGCAUGCCUGUCCGAGCGUCAUUUCCCCCCUCACGCGCCCCGUUGCGCGCUGGUGUUGGGGCUCCUCCGCCUGGCGGAGGGCCCCGAAAGCGAGUGGCGGGCCCGGCUGGUUGGCUCCGAGCGCAGUACCGAACGCAAGUUCUCCCCUCGCUCAGACGCCCCGCCGGCUCCCUGCCGUCAAAACGCGCAUGACGUGCAACUCUUUUUACAAGGUUGACCUCGGAUCAGGUAGGACUACCCGCUGAACUUAAGCAUAUCAAUAAGC